GGCUCAGGAUGAACGCUAGCUACAGGCUUAACACAUGCAAGUCGAGGGGCAGCAUGAUGGAAGCUUGCUUUGAUUGAUGGCGACCGGCGCACGGGUGAGUAACGCGUAUCCAACCUUCCCUAUAGUAGAGAAUAGCCCGGCGAAAGUCGGAUUAAUGCUCUAUGUUGUAUUUAGAGGCCAUAUGAAGAAUACCAAAGGUUUACCGCUAUAGGAUGGGGAUGCGUCUGAUUAGGUAGUAGGCGGGGUAACGGCCCACCUAGCCGACGAUCAGUAGGGGUUCUGAGAGGAAGGUCCCCCACAUUGGAAUUGAGACCCGGUCCAAACUCCUACGGGAGGCAGCAGUGAGGAAUAUUGGUCAAUGGACGAAAGUCUGAACCAGCCAAGUAGCGUGCAGGAUGACGGCCCUAUGGGUUGUAAACUGCUUUUAUAUAGGGAUAAAGUCGGGGACGUGUCCCCGUUUGUAGGUACUAUAUGAAUAAGGACCGGCUAAUUCCGUGCCAGCAGCCGCGGUAAUACGGAAGGUCCAGGCGUUAUCCGGAUUUAUUGGGUUUAAAGGGAGCGCAGGCUGAUGAUUAAGCGUGACGUGAAAUGUAGCCGCUCAACGGCUGAACUGCGUCGCGAACUGGUUAUCUUGAGUGAGUUCGAUGUUGGCGGAAUUCGUGGUGUAGCGGUGAAAUGCUUAGAUAUCACGAAGAACUCCGAUUGCGAAGGCAGCCAACAAG
rnacentral:rRNA from 1 species